GACGAACGCUGGCGGCGUGCUUAACACAUGCAAGUCGAACGGAAAGGCCCGGCCUAUGUGCGGUGCUCGAGUGGCGAAGGGGUGAGUAACACGUGAGUAACCUGUCCUUGACUGUGGGAUAACUUCAGGAAACUGGGGCUAAUCCCGGAUAGGAGCUAUCGCUGCAUGGUGGGGGUGGGAUAGUUUCGGCGGUUGGGGAUGGACUCGCGGCUCAUCAGAUUGUUGGUUGGGUAGUGGCUGACCAAGGCAUUGACGGGUAGCCGGCCUGGGAGGGUGAGCGGCCACAUCAGAACUGGGAUACGACACAGACUCCAACGGGAGGCAGCGGUGGGGAAUAGUGUACAGUGGGAGGGGGCCUGACGCGAUAACGCCGCGUGGGGGGUGACAUCCUUCGGUUUGGGAUCCGCUUCCGCCUGUGACGAAGCGUGAGUGACGGUAAUGGGUGAAGAAGCACCGGCUAACUACGUG
rnacentral:rRNA from 1 species